rnacentral:rRNA from 1 species
UACGAAGGGGGCUAGCGUUGCUCGGAAUCACUGGGCGUAAAGCGCACGUAGGCGGAUUGUUAAGUCAGGGGUGAAAUCCUGGAGCUCAACUCCAGAACUGCCUUUGAUACUGGCGAUCUCGAGUCCGGGAGAGGUGAGUGGAACUGCGAGUGUAGAGGUGAAAUUCGUAGAUAUUCGCAAGAACACCAGUGGCGAAGGAGGCUCACUGGCCCGGUACUGACGCUGAGGUGCGAAAGCGUGGGGAGCAAACAGG